rnacentral:rRNA from 1 species
UACGUAGGGGGCUAGCGUUAUCCGGAUUUACUGGGCGUAAAGGGUGCGUAGGCGGUCUUUCAAGUCAGGAGUGAAAGGCUACGGCUCAACCGUAGUAAGCUCUUGAAACUGUAAGACUUGAGUGCAGGAGAGGAGAGUGGAAUUCCUAGUGUAGCGGUGAAAUGCGUAGAUAUUAGGAGGAACACUAGUUGCGAAGGCGGCUCUCUGGACUGUAACUGACGCUGAUGCACGAAAGCGUGGGGAGCAAACAGGAUUAGAUACCCUGGUA